rnacentral:lncRNA from 1 species
GAAACAAUAAUCCCAACAUGAUAGAGAACAUCAAAGUAAAUGAAAAUACUAAACCUAACACUGCUACAAAUAAAUAUCCAAACACAAUUGAAACUAUUAAAAUGCAACGAGUAAACUAAACAUUAAAAAUAAUUCGUCACAGAAAUAGCACAAAGAAAACGUGUAAAUAAUAGACUAAAUUGAAAAUAUUAAAUAAGUUGAAAUGAAUUUAAAAGUGCUGAACGAAAUUAACAUGUAGACUAAAAAGAAAUAAUGAUCCUCGGUCCAAGCAUGAAGAAAGAAGAAAUUCAAGGGAACCUAAUGAAGCUCUCCUCUCCAAGACCUAACCCAUGUGCUCACCAAAAUCCAUUAACUUGAAUACUCAACUUAAAAGUAAUAACCAUGCCGUCAUGAAAAAUGAAUCAGCACCCAUGUUCUUCAACUAAUUAUGAAUGAAUCACGCCCUUCCUAAAACCAAUAUAUGAAGUAGCGGCUGACUCCAUGCUGAAAUAAGCGAAAAUCAAUUCUCUAAAAAGCUGAAUGAAAUGAUGCGCCUCUUCUUCAAAGGAAAGGAAAUAUGCUACUCAAAAAUUCCAUCCCAGGAUCAACCCGUAACCACACAGCUGAAAUAAAAGUGCACGCUUUUUUUUCUUUAAAUAGAAAGAGAAUCCCGAGGCUGUCACCACUUCUCCAUAUCCGUCUCAUUCAACCAAUGCCCCUCUAGGUGGCGGCUCCCACCUCCUCUGUCCCCCUAGGGUAGCAUGUCCUUAAAAUGAAAAUCCAUUCUCCUUUUUUCACAUGGGCUGCUGCCGUGUGAUUAUGUGGACCUGCAUGGAUGCAAUUGAUUCUCCCCCAAGCUUGCUGUUUGCACCUCCAAGGUGGACAUUCAUCUAUGUGGGCCGUGAGCUGCUUCAGCCCAAGUGAAGUUGUGGAUGGACGCAACAGUUAAUUGCCACAGCUAGACACGCUGCUUUCUCCAUAUUACCGUGCUAAUAUGUUGGUCAUCUUGUCAC